rnacentral:rRNA from 1 species
UUUUUGAAAAUAAUUUAAAGUAGGGCCUGCCCMCUGAAGUAUUAAAGGGCCGCAGUAUUUUGACUGUGCAAAGGUAGCAUAAUCAUUAGUUUUUUAAUUGAAAGCUUGUAUGAAUGGUUUGAUGAGAAAAUAACUUUCUAUAUUUAAAUUUUUAAAAAUUUUAUUUUUAAGUUAAAAAGCUUAAAUUUUUUUAAUAGACGAGAAGACCCUAUAGAGUUUUAUUAUAUUAAUUUUUUAAAUUUUUAGAAUUUAAAAAUUUUAAUUUUUAAUAUAAUUUGGUUGGGGUGACUGAAAAAUUAAAUAAACUUUUUUUAUAUUAUUACAUAGAUUUAUGAAUAUUUGAUCCAUAAAAAUGAUUAAAAGAAUAAAUUACCUUAGGGAUAACAGCGUUAUUUUUUUUUAGAGUUCAAAUCGAAAAAAGAGAUUGCGACCUCGAUGUUGGAUUAAAGUAAAUUUUAGGUGUAGGAGCUUAAAAAUUUGGUCUGUUCGACCAUUAAAACUUUACA